CUAAAGCAUCUCCUUGUUGCAGACCAUUCUGAAUGGAAAAUAAGUAGCAGAAGUCCCUGCACCUUUAAACUGAGGUGAAAGUUUAAGAAAAAUGUUGGUGUAACUGUAGUAGCAUAACAGAUAUUUUAAGAGAAGUCAAGAGACCAAAUUAAACACCAAAAUGUGCAGAUGGAAGUAAAUAUUUAUUCAGCAGAGGGAAUAAUUAAAAGGACAAUAAUGGGCUCCCAAAGCAAAGAUUACACUAUCAUACACCAUUCAGAAAAUUGCUACAAGGUUCAAACAAGCUUCAGUGUAAUCAGUAAAGGCAGAAAAGAAGAUAUUCAUUCCACAUGCAAAAGAUAAGAGAAUGGACAAUAAAUCUCCCAAAACACCAGUGCAAAGCAAAGAAUACAGAAUCACAAACCUUUGAGAAAAUGGCUAUGGAGUUUUAACAAGUGUCAGCCUAACAUGUGAAGGCAUAAAACAUUCUGCAAGCAAAAGAGAAAUUAAAAGUGCGCAGACUUCUACCAUAUAUGAUGGUACACAUCAGACACGUGAUAGAAAUAUGAAGAUUUACAGCACUAGCUGCAAUGGAAACUGAAUAUGAAGAUGGAUUCACAAAUACUGGAGGAAACUAUCAUUACAUAACUAUCUCAGGUGCUCAGACUGGACCCUCCUGAAUGGACCACAUCUUUGUAACACGAGACAGUGGGAACACACCUCAUGUUUUGAUAGGACACAUGAAGGAACAUACCUCAGGUAUGUCAGAUGAGGUAAGGCACAUAUUUCAUUUUAAGUUAUUAUAAAUGAAUUCACUCCAUGCAGCAGACUCUGUCUUGAGAACCUGACAGUCCCUACUGGUCAAGGAAUUCACUGCCUUUUAUGAAAUCUGAAGGCUUGGUAACAUACUCGCAAGAGCCUCACACUGGACCCUAACCUCAGCCAGUUGAACCCAGCCCACAUCCUCACAUGCUUCUCAAGAAUUCUGUAAUAGAAUUCCCUUAAAAAACAUGAAAUAUGUUUAAUGACACUAGUGUAGAUACAACCUCAGUGGUUUGCAUGAUCUUCAUGUUGGUAUUAUCAAUUGUAGUAAAUUAAAAAGCAUGAAAGAAGGCAAGUCUUCAGCAGUGUGAUGUUCAUACUUAGUUUCACCAUAAAUUUGUUCACGAUGAUGAUGCUGUUCUUCUGGGUUGUGAUGCCAUGUAGACUCGUAGGUAGGUACCAACGUUUUGGAGAACCAUAUGUCUCCAGCUUCAUUCCUGAAGAUACUGGUAUUUACAUGUAAGUCUAUACAGCAUCACAUCUCAGAAAUAUAUGUUGGGCUACAAAGGGCAUUUGUAUUGUAGGAGUAUUAAGCCAUUCUGCAAUACA